UGUACUUGAGUUUUUAUUUUAAUAAUGUUCAAGGGGAGAUAUGACGCUCUUCAGAAGUGACAGCUGGUGUGUGACAACUGAACCAGGUCAUGUGGUCCCGCAUAAUAUCCGCAUACACGUCUCAUAACAGAUCACCACCUGGCAGUGUCGGAGGAUUUUCCAAAAUGGGUUAAGCAUGGGGGAGAGGGAAAAGACCGCUGCAACCAGCUGUGUCGGUGGCAAGUGCUUAAUGCGGAUUCCCUCAGCAUGGCCACUGGUGAAAGGCAGCAGUAGCGGGGAACCGGAAACACAGACGUCCAUCAUUCCCGGAGAACACAGCGAGCUUUCCUUAGAUCACGCUUCUUAAAAAGAGCUGUGUGAAACCUAGAUGCGGAGAAUAAUGCUGGUUAUGGGAAUACCAUGCAUUCGGUGCCUCCUGUGUUUUAGCCCUCAAAUCAACCUUUGAACCCUCUUCAGGAAACGAAGCGAAAAUAAACGUAAAAGGAAAAGCUCCAAAAGCCCAUAACUUCAAAACCCAGCCACAUAAGAAGGCGAUGGGACCAGGCACUUCUUCGCCAGGCUUUCUACAGAUUGAAGUUGGGUCACUUCAACAAGUACGGAUGAAGUGCAGUUCAAUAGACCAGCCUUUGGCCUUUGAGAUUGAAUGACAGUUCGGUGACAACCCAAAGGUCAGGAAACAAACAGAAAACCAAACCUUCAUGCACAGAAGCAGAGGAAAGCAGUGUUACUGGGCCUCCCCAAUUAUUAAAGCUCAGCCAGCAGAAGCAUUUUUAUUAGCACAGCUCAUUCCGGCUCUCUUUUUCUCAAAGGACAUUUCAGUCACUUGUCAUGAUAUUGG